GGAACAGAGUGUUAUUGGAUCGCCUUAUUUUGAGAGUUAACUUGGUGUCCCACCGGAUAAAUGUCCCUUUGGUGUUGUGUCUCGUUGGAGUCUGAAUCGUUGGGGCAUUAUAUAUAUACAUGGAUCCCAUUAAGUCUAACCAACUUGAAAAUCAUUGAUGACCGUUGGAUCCUUUCAGGAUUAAAUCCUAGCCGUGUUAACUCAAAAAAGUAACCGAAAGAGUGGCAGUUCACGGCGGUUUCACAUUCUCUUUCCUAUUCUGAUGCAGUUAGGAGGUUUCCGGUGGUUUUACCCUAUCCACGUUCGCACGCUAUUUACCCCACUCCUCUUUUUUCUCCGGUUUACGUGGUAUUAAAGAAGGCAACCAUCCCUCCUUUCUUUCUUUAAUCACAGCAACAACCCUUCAUUUGUUUCUUCACUUCCAAUCGUUCAUCACCGAAAUCAGUGAUCGCUUCACGAUUGAAGCAUACAAUCACCACCAUUUAGCCUCCGGUCACAGGAAACCAUCGCAGGUUGCCGUUUGUUAAUAAGGGUGUGAACCAAUAAUCUUUACUUCUUCCUCAGAUCUUAUCAAGGUGAGUUUAAAUUUCUUAAUUUUGGUUCGCCGGGUCAACAGAAACCAACGUAGGUGCGACAUACGGGAAAUUGGCUGAUUGCCUCAAUAAUGUACAGCCUUGUAACCCUAGGGUUGCUUGUCUUUGAAAGUUUUCUCAUUUCUGACCAUAUGCUAAAUUAAAGGGAAAAACUGCUUACAAAUGCCCCACCCCCAAUAUCUGCACUGCUAAUGUUCUUUUUGAGGUUUUUAAGGCUGUUAAGCAAACACAGGCAAUGAUAGUGGAGAGAUAAUUGUUUUGGUUUUAUUGUAAAAUCAUGUAGCUAUAUUGUUGUGAAUAAUGAUUCGAAUGAUAGUGUUUUGAAGUUAAUGUUACAUGGAGACCAAGUAUUCGAUGAAAUGUCUUAAUGACAAAAUCGAAAUGAUCAGUUUGGAAUGAUCAUGAAUUUUGAGCAUGAGAUCCCAUCUUCUUCAGAGCUUGAUUGUAAUUUGUCAGUUUGAAGAAUGGUUGAUAAAAAAGGUUUAUUUUUAACCACUAGAAUAAGUCCUGUUUAUCAAAUGCUUUACGCUGGUGGAUCUUUUCAUUUGCCACAAAGCGCAAGUCAUUAAAAAGUUAGAUGGUUGUGACUUUUUACAAAAGGAGAAAGCAACCCCAAACACCCUCAAUAUGGAUUCUCUUUGUUUGUUACGUUGUUAGUGUAACCCGUCCACCGGACGGGUAUUAAACUAGUUCGGUUGGUGAGCGUGAAGUUGCUGCUAGGACUUGGAAUGUGAUUGCUAGAUGGCUUAAAUUAAAUUGGACCUUCCGAGUUCAAAAUUUCCAUCUGAAUAAUUCAAAGCAAUUAGUAGUCGAAUCUAUUCUCAUGAUGGUUUGGUUGAUUUUGUGGCGGUUCAAACAUGACUUCAUCUUGGAGAAGGAUAGGAGGAAUCGUGUUAAAUUAACAAUGUUAAUAUCUUUAAUGCCAUUGUUCAUUACUCGUUUUUUUUUUGGGCACUCGAAUAGGUCUUGUAAGAUUAAGUUUGCUUUGUAGAGUGGUUAAAGAACCCGGUUAUGUGUGUGUUACAGUAAUUGUUCCUUCCGUCUAGCUAUUUGCUAGUUGGGCUUUUAUAUUUGCUAAUUGGGCUUUUAUA